rnacentral:rRNA from 1 species
UACAGAGGUGGCAAGCGUUGUUCGGAAUUACUGGGCGUAAAGGGCGCGUAGGCGGCCUUCUAAGUCAGACGUGAAAUCCCUCGGCUUAACCGGGGAACUGCGUCUGAUACUGGUUGGCUUGAAUCCGGGAGAGGGAUGUGGAAUUCCAGGUGUAGCGGUGAAAUGCGUAGAUAUCAGGAGGAACACUGGUGGUGUAGACGGCUUUCUGGACCGUAACUGACGCUGAGACACGAAAGCGUGGGUAGCAAACAGG